UCGCCGGGAAGUACUAUUUAUUGUAUGUGUGCCUUCCAAGUACGAGGUCUGAGAUAAUCAUUCAGUCUGGUGA
rnacentral:tRNA from 1 species